UGGGGAAUAUUGCACAAUGGGCGCAAGCCUGAUGCAGCCAUGCCGCGUGUAUGAAGAAGGCCUUCGGGUUGUAAAGUACUUUCAGCGGGGAGGAAGGGAGUAAAGUUAAUACCUUUGCUCAUUGACGUUACCCGCAGAAGAAGCACCGGCUAACUCCGUGCCAGCAGCCGCGGUAAUACGGAGGGUGCAAGCGUUAAUCGGAAUUACUGGGCGUAAAGCGCACGCAGGCGGUUUGUUAAGUCAGAUGUGAAAUCCCCGGGCUCAACCUGGGAACUGCAUCUGAUACUGGCAAGCUUGAGUCUCGUAGAGGGGAGUAGAAUUCCAGGUGUAGCGGUGAAAUGCGUAGAGAUCUGGGGGAAUACCGGUGGCGAAGGCGGCCCCCUGGACGAAGACUGACGCUCAGGUGCGAAAGCGUGGGGAGCAAACAGG
rnacentral:rRNA from 1 species